AAUAGCACUAUGCCUUCUUGUGACUGGUUAAUUAUGACUAAUUAAUUAUACUAUUUUACUGUUUAUCAAUUUCCUGCACACGUUUCCUCCAAAGCACCAACUUUUCACAGUUUAAAAUUACUACUUCCUCUGCGGUUAAUUUCAGCUAUAUUGAAUAUUUUCACAACUUUGAGCUAUUCUUUCAGCUGUUGAACUCAGAACUAUUUAAUUAUAAUAUUGUUUUGAUAUAUAGAAAUAUAAACUAAACAACACAUAUAUAAACUAAGCAAACCUUUUCACAUUUCCUUCAUUUUCAGCAGUUCUUUAAUUUCAGCAAAUCUCAAGUAAUUUCAAGUUUCCCCCAUUUGAAAUUUAACUACUUCAGCUUCCUCUGCAAAUAUUCAGCUCUGUUUAAACAACUCCUAAUUAUCUUCAGAUACAUUCAUCUAUGCUUUACAUGCUUCAGCUAUUUUAAAUGUUUCAGCUACGUUCAGCAAUUCUUCAGGAAUACAUUCAGCAUGGAAGCAUCCACUGUGCGUUUUCUUAUGGAAAUACUUUAUCUAGUUUGUCUGAGAGUGAAAAUCUAAAUUUGUCAAAUAGAUACUCCCCUCCCCAUAAGACUGACAAUUAGCUUGUGGUUUCCAAUUCUGAUGAUACAUUUGGAAGACACCACAAAUACGCAUGCACACACACACAUCCAUGUACUUACAUCAAAACUAAUUUCUAACCUCAGCCUUAAAAUCACACCUUAACCCUCAAACAGGCCUUCAAAGAAGUGAGGACUGGCCAAAAUGUCCUCACUUUGUCAAAAUUUCCUCACUUUGGUAGGAUGUUUAUAGCACUGUGUUGUUAUUAUGAACUUGAUUUUCAAAUGAAAAAGCUUGGCUGCCCUGAGGCAGUUGUCUUGAAUGAUGCCUCUUUCCUCAAUUUUGUCCAGACUGACAGUGUGUCCUCCAGCCACGGCGUCUUCUGCCCAACCAGCCGAAACCUGGGGGUUUUAAACACAUUUUGUGUCUAUGUCAUGCUUACUUUAUUAGACUCAUUGGUUACUUUACAGCAUAAUCAACAUCUUUAAACCAAUGACAACACAUCAUGUACACAUCAACAGUCAGGGUCUAAGCCUUUUCUCAUUUCGAUUACAAGUGCAGCUCAUCAACACCGUUACCUUGCAAACUUCCCCAUUUUCUCUGCCCAUGUCCGCUUUUGCCCGUGCUGGUACUUUCCAGGGACACUUUGGUUGCUUAAAACUUUAGUUUGCACCAAACAUUUCAAAACUGUAGCUUGAGAACACAAGAUUGCAAAACCUACACCUGACUCUUGUUCUCAAACAUUCAACUUUAUUUUACCCUGAUUACAAGCUCACAAAAUGUAUUAGAACAUAUAUCAAAACAACAGAUUUAUCAUUCCAACAUAAUCACACUGCUGUGUUAUUAAAAAUCACCUGAAUCAUCAAACAUCAUAACAUCAUCUGACUGUUAAAUACAAUAGAAUAGAAAACACACUUUUUGGUUCUCACUUCUAUGUAAGUACAAAUACACUCUCGCUCUCUCUAAGAAAUGGGGUACAACGUCAGCAGGAAGCUGGUGCUCACAUGCAUUAUAUAUUAUCAGUCACUAUAUUAUCAUAUAUACGUGUGUGUGUGUGUGUGUGUGUGUGCGUGUGUGUGUGUGUGUGUGCGUGCGUGCGUGUGUGUGUCUUUUACUACACUACUACAUUACAUUUUGUACAUUUUUCGUCUGGAGCUUCACUGACAUGGAUGUCGAGGUUUGUCUGAAAGUGAAAAUCUAAAGUUGUCAAAUAGAUACUGCCCUCCCCAAAAGACAAUUAGUGUGUAGUUUCCAAUUCCAAUGGUACAUUUGGAAGACACCACAAAUACGCACUCACACACACACACACACACACACACACACACACACACACACACACACACACACACACACACACACACACACACACACACACACACACACUCCAGCCUGGACACCUGCAAGCAGCUGUCAGGACCUUUAUAGAUAUUACAAGGAGACAUUUCCAGAGAUAGGACUAGUUGAAUAUCUUCAUAGUUCUUAUGAAAAACCUGCUAAUUUGUUCUUUGUUUUGAUUGAUCCGGUUUAUGCAAUUUGUAAGUUAGUGUUUUAUUAUUACGCAGUACCAUCAUCUGUUUGUCUUUUAAAAUUUGUUUUUUGUAUUCAGAAAACAUAAAAAAGAUGAAUGAUGAGGUCACAGUCGUAGUUUUGCUCAUCUACGUGGAGACAUCUAGUGGCCAAAUGUUGUCUGAGCAGCUUCAUAGUCAACCGUGGCAGUAAUAUUUGUGUGGCCUGACGUUUAACUGGAUCAUACCUAAAUAACAAGCUUUCACAUUCACUCAACAGCAAGAAAACACAGACCCAACUGUUACAGACUGGACAUGUUGGCUUGAGCUUCACAAAUGUCAGCAAAACUCUUAUUUUUAACUGAAACUGACACAUGGUUAUGAAACAAUAUUUGACCUUGGCACCAGAGUUGUGAGCUGGAUGAACUUUAUGACUUUUAUGGGUCAUCCCCCAAUGAGCCACUGGGUGUCAACCUUAAUGUAUUACUCUGUAGAACACAGAAGAACAUUUGUCGCGUCCACAAAGAGUCAGGACUUAUUCAACUCAACAAGCACACGUUCGGACUGUACUUCAUCUAUUGACCCCUGUGGUCUGACCUGGUGACAGUCUAUGUUUCAACCUGCUCUCCCACCUUAACAUCUGUAUCUCCCAGCCUAAUCAGAUGGAUACAGUUGUGCAUAUAUAAACAUGAAUGUAUAGUGUAAUGUGCAGAACUAUGUUUAUGAACAAGAUCUGCCAGUUUUAGAACCGGAGGAGCAGUUAAUGUGUCUGAACACGCCUGUAACACAGUGCCUUGAUGUUUGUGUUGGCUGUCGUGGAGGGUAAAGUAGUCAGGACCACAGCUUCCAGUAAGUCCAGUAUAUUCACAUUAGAACAGGUGACGUUUUAACUGGCUUCACCGGAAGACCAGAGGUUCAUUAAGACUUAACACACAUUUCACCAAUCAUAGUUUUUAGUUGUAUUUUGUAUGAGUGACAGCUAAACUGCAACAUAAACGUCGCAGAGUAGUAACAUAAAAAAAAAAAUGCUCCCCAUUAGUUAUUUUAAAAUAUAGUAAAAUGAAGCUGGUGCUCAUGUAAAUGUGUUAAUAGAUUUAUGUAUUGUGUAUAACAAUAAACAAGCUGAAAUAGUUUUUCAAAACUAGACACAGAGUUGGAUUUUAACACGUUUUCCUGUUUGUUUGUUUGUUUGUUUGUUUUGAUAGCAGAAAGAAAUGUCAAGAAAUUGGUGGGGAAAUCUAAAGUACACGGACCAUGCUUUGAUUAAAUUCCGUUUUCGCUCAUAUUUAAAGAAAACCGGCGUGCUUUAUAUUUUAACGCAGGUUGACAAAUCAACCAGAAGACGGUUUGAUUUCAGUCAAUAUUAAGAAAGAGUGUCGCUUCCUCAGCCCGCGCGUGCGUGCGCGUGUGUCAGUGACGUGCGGUCAGGGGAGGCAGAACCUCUGAAAUAUACGAUUAUGUAAUUAUAAUAACAAGGAAUAAAAAUCCAUAUCAAGUUACUGAUCUGUGUUUCAAAUGUAUUUUCUCUACAAUUUAAAUAUUUGUCGAUUAAUAACAUGCGAGUCUCUGAAGCUCAAACUUUCAGUAAAUGGGUUGUUACGUGCUACGUUCCUCUUUUAUUUUAACAGCUAGUCACCAGGAUAAUGUUUGCAGCCUACAGACCAUAUACAAAUAAUAUGAUUAUUCUACACUUUGUUCAACCCUCUAAAUUUAUUUAUUGGUGUUUUGUGGCAUAAUUACUUCUUUGACCUCCAGCGAUUGGACAGUUCUCUGCUUGUCUAACGUGGGACAAAGCAGAUGAUAAUAAUAUACUGUGUGAAAAACGAUAUUGUGAUGACUCCACUACGAAACAGGGCCAGUAGUCAGUCAGUGUUCUGCCAGUGAAAUAGUGAAAAGAUUAUUUUUUGAGUUCUUUUAAAGUCUGACUGGGAAGUCGUUAUUUCCUCACCAGUCAUGAACCUCACCACAUGUCACUGGUGCGUGUGUCUCCCAUAUGGAGACACUACUGGUCAUAUGGAGGUCAACAGAAGAAGUGUGUUUGUCAGAAUGAAGAAUAAAUUCUGGCUCUUUGCUGUGGAUGAACACAAGUGAGAUUUUCCAAUCUGAAUGGAGGAUGACCCAUUGGCAUGAAAUUAUUGAUGAUGAAAUUUGAUGAUGAUAACAUUAAAUCAGAGCUUGGGCCAAAGGAGACAUCUAGGAACAAAAGGGGCCAAAGCGGGGACAAAUCUGAGGGUGAAUCUAACACUGGGGGGAACCUGAACGGCAGCGGUGGUCCCUCCUUGGAGAGGAUUAGGAAAUAUACCUGCUCUGCUAAACAAGAGAAGAGAGUGGUGCAAGAAGAAUUGAGUCAUCAGCCGCUGGUUGCAGAGUUAGAGGAAGUCAGGAGGAAAGCAGAGCAGCCUGGGAGGCAAGAGGGGGGGGGGUGCUUUUUCUUCUCCUUUUUCUUCUCCAACACAGUCGUCAUGUACUGGUUAGGUGCAACACUAAACAUUCUUACACAAACAACUAAUCUCUUGCGCGCUGUCGUAAAUCAAGCCUAAACAUCUGAUGUUUCAUUUGACUGACUAAUAGUUUAUGAUAUAUGUUUGUCUUUUACACCUGGACUCUGGCUCCAUCCUAUCUGACUCCCCACCAGACCCAAGGCUGGUAAAGCCAAUGCAUCUUGUCUUGGAAGCUCGGUGUUCCUGCCUUUUGAAAACAAGACACGAUGAUGCAGAAGUGAGAAUGUAAACAUUCUUACAGCGAAAUAGGGUGGCACAAACAAUUCUAUUGGUGCAGAGAGACAUUCCAGCAGAGCCAGAGAAAGGGGUUAAAAGGCAGAAGCAACCUGAGGAUCGUGGGCUCUUUGCAUCACACCUUCGUGGUGUGUGCACUGAUCUCCCCAUCUGGUUUUUGGUUUGUUGAUCUGCACCAUCAACAUCCAUGCUUUUGAUUUGCUUUCUCCAUUAUUUUUAUUUUCCUUUAUUUUCAUAAUAAAUCACACAAAAGACAACUCUCUCAUUUGCCUCUUUAUGGAAAAUUUCCACCACAAGAGGAAGUCAGAAAGAGAUGAUCAAAAAGCCCAAAUAAUCUUUUAUUUACUGUUGCAUUGAUUCUUAUAUUCCACUGAUUACAAAUGAUAAGAAAAUAAUCAUUAAUCUACUAUUGUGUUGAUUGUCAUUAUUGGUGACUUCUAAAGAUAAUAAUUUAUUUACUAUUGUAUUGAUUCUCAUUAGCUAAUGAUAUGAAAUGAUCUUAUUCUAACCCUAACCCCCAAACAAUGACUCUCAUGUUUGAAUGAGUGCUAAGGAUGAUGAAUUAGUAACUAAAAUGUAAUGAUUCUUAUGUUUAGCUGAUAUUAAUGAUAAGGUUAAUGAAACCAUCAGUGGUAAAACACCUUAUGAUUUUGUAUGGGGUUAAUGCAUAUGAGGAACUGUCGACCAGGGGAAAAAAAAGUUUCAAGUGUCAAGGCAGAACCAGGUGCAGGUUUGGGAAAUCAAAUGUGCAAGCUGAACUUUUGCAAUCUUUUGUGCUCAAUCUAAGUUUUUGCAGAACCAAAGGGUCAGGUAGAAAGUACAGAGAAGUCAUAACGGGAAGUAUCCAAAUGACAUGUUGUACUGGCGUUAAGGUGAAGCAGAGUUCAGAUAAUGCCUGUUCACAGGUACAUGAUGUAUUGUCAUUGGUUGAAAAAUGUUGAUGGCGCUGUAAAGUGACCAAUGAGAUGAUGGAAUGUGUACAGAGUGGUGUCGAGGGCUGUCAGAAAACGUGUAUAAAACCCUUGGGUUUUGACAAGUUGGACAGAAGACGCAGCGGCUGGAGGACACACUGUCAGUCUGAACAAAAAUCAAGGAACAAGGAAAGAAGAGCUCAGAUCAAGGAGGGAGAGGGAACGCUUGGAGGACGACUGCCUCAGGGCAGCUGGAUGGGAUGAAGCAGCACGGGUUCAAAACCCAAGUGGACGGGACGGAGACGAAGCAUCCACAUCAUCUCCAACUCGACGCCCAGAGUCCCAGCAACCAACGGCUAUGAGUAAAAAAGCACACAAGGAAGGAAGGAAUGGUGAUUGUGACUGCGUUUUGAGUUUGAUUUUUCAUCUUUGAUUUGGACUAUUUUUAUUACCUGCUGUUGGCUUUUGCUGUUUGCUGAAUAAAGUACCAACACUGGAGUUAAAGUAACUGCGUCCUGUCCUUAAUUUUAUUGGGAAAAGGUUUUCUUCAAAUGAAUGUAGCCACUCCUCGUUGAUGUAAAAGUUCCAGAUUGUGUGACUAAGCCGGCUGCAUGAUAAAGGCUCUUGUUUAGUCCAGACUCAUAAAUCAACACAUCCUGUGUGGUAAAAGUAUACUAACCACCAAAACCAGUUCCAGCAACCACAACACCAGUCAAAUGAGAAGGAAGCUGCUAUAUCUGGCUCCUUGGUAUCUGGGAUCUUCUGGUCUGUGCAGGUGCUACUGAGGGCGAAGCAGGUGGACAUGAGGAUUCACAGCACUGGAUGAAUUCCUUCGCUUCAGCCUAAGUUAGUGUCGUGGGUGCGACGCAACCUCUGCGCCUCUGUGACGGUUCCUUUCAGGCAGUGCCCAAGUGAGCAGCGCUCCGUGGAGGGAAGAGGGAACAAGCCAGAGGGAAAGAGAGUCCCUGAGUGGACUGGCAAUGAAAGAGAAUCCCUCUGAGAGAGAGGCAGACCCUGAUCUGGGAGCGUCGCCUGCAGACGGCGGAGCAGGGCAGCGCUCAGUGCCUGAGGGCCUCCACCCUGGGAGGGGCAGCAGCCAUGUCUGCCUCCAGCCCCAAAACGUGCUGCUGACGCCUGGGCUCGGCGUGUGGGCUGAACUGCAGCCAGAGGCUCAGGAGAUCCCGCAGAGAGGAGGAAUCAGAUGCAAUGUGAUGAAAUGAAAUGUGAUGAUGAGAGUGAGCUACACGUAGGAGAAACAGAUGAUGACUGGAAGCCGUCCUGCUGCAGGGAGCCUUAAUGGAUCUGAAGGCGUCGACCUCAGAAAAGAUUCGUUCAGGGAUCAUGCAGAAACUAUGGGCCAAGCGGGAAAUGAUCCUCGUAAGCCGAGGGACGGCUCACGAUGCAAAUGUGAAAUUGGCCACAAGAUUAACAGCAAACCAGAGGAUGAAGAUUAACACAUUAACAUGCAGCAGCCGAGGAAAUUCAGUAUGGAGGAGCGGCUCAGAGAAGGGUCCAAGAGGGCAGGGGGUGCAUAGGAGCACCUUGAUGAAUAUUUGAGGGGAUCAAGCCUCCAGCUCUACUAGAGCCAGCUCUGGGAGAUCAGGGGGGGUCCUUUCACCAGGACAUCAGCAGAGUGUAGGACACACACCCUCACAACGCCAGGUGUGGCGGUCUGGGCCUCUACACUCCGUAGAGGCCCAGACCGGCAGACAAUGGGUGACGGAGGACGAGCCUGAGUUCAGGAGGGACAGAGGAGCAUCAGCGCAUGAGAAGGAAAAAACUGCCAACAGCUGGAUCUGAGAGGAGUGUUUGGUUAAGCCACACAGAUCAGGCACGUAUAAAAGGGCAAGGAAGCGAAAACAUGACCAUUAUGACCCCUUCCAGGUGUGUGAGAGGCUGGUUCUGAACCCAGAAUGGGAGGGAGGAGCAGUUUGCGUGCCGGAGUUUGGCCAGACGGAGACCGAGCCUCCGCUGGGAUGGAGAACGCACCGAGAGGAGGCCAUGAUGAUGAGGCUGCAGGAGGUAAUUAAAGGAUUAUCUGAUGCUGGCCUGAAGUUGACCCUGAAGAAAUGCAAGGGCUGGACAUCAAGCUAACCUGAAAAGGUGAUGACUGGCAAUCAACGAAGCUGAAGGGCUGGAACCGAGACGACUAGACUUUGGACUGAAAGCGGAGAUUCAUUGUGAGGUAAAUGCCGUAGGAACAGUAUUAAGCGACGGAGGGGGGACUCAGAGCUCUGGAGUUUUGUGUGGAGCUGUGUGUUGUCAUCCGUAGAAAAGGAAGCGUGGGAAGUCUGGUACAGCCCCAGACUCGGCUUCAGGCAAUGCAAUGGUCGUGGGUCAGAAGGUGUGGCUUAAAGUAACGGUAAGGCCACAAGCAGUGACAGUCCACCCCCAAAACCAACAAGCAAGAUGAGGUAGAGGACACACUUGACCUCAGCACCGUGAGGUUGAAGGAAGCAGCUAAAAGCAGUCCCACAUCUGGAGAAGAAACUAGGAGCCGAAAGGUCGGUGGCUUCUGGAGCACAGGAUCUGCCAACCUGGAUAAAAGUGGCUCAUAUCAUCCCAUAUGGCAGAGUGGAGAUCAAGACGGCAUCAAGGCUGUGGGCAGAAAGCGCAGGUCGCUGAAGGAGCUACGUUAGCGAAUGAAGAGAGCAGGCUUGGCAACGCUUAAAGCAGUCAUCAGAGACCGAUCUUCUGCUCACAGGUAUCCAGUGGCUGUCGAAAAGGAGGUUUGUGGGUAAAAGAUGACGGGGGAAAUGUUCUGGCUGCAUAAGAGCAGGACGAGUACCCUGGACGAACAGAUGAUCAGAGGCGAAGAGAAUGGAAAUCAGGAGAUGAUCAAAGAAGGACAAGAUCAUCUGUUAUUUACUGCUGCAUUGAUUCUCAUGUUCCACUUAUUACCAAUAAAUCUGCUCCCAAAGAAAAUAAUCAUUAAUCCACUAUUGUGUUGAUUCUUAUAAUUGAUGACUUCUAAUAAUAAUCAUCUAUUUACUAUUGUAUUGAUUCUUACAUUCAAUUAAUUACUAAUGAUGAUCUAUCUUAAGAAACAAUGGUUCUCAUGUUUGAAUGAGUGCUAAGGAUGAUGAAAACAAUGACAAAGGGGCUAUGAGUAAACCAGUAAAGCAAACAGGGAAGGAAUGAAUGAUGAUUGGGACUGUAUUUUCUGUUUGAUUUUUGAUUUCUGAUUCUGAUCAUUUUAAUUACCUGCUGUUGGCUUUUGCUGUUUGCUGAAUAAAGUACCUACACUG